rnacentral:tRNA from 1 species
CAAAAUGUAGCUUAAUUAAAGCCUUUCGCUUACACCGAAAAAACGUUUGUGUAAUUCAAACCAUUUUGAG